GGGGCCGUAGGCUAGCCUGGAAGGCUGCGGGACUUGGGGUCCCGUGACCGGGGUUCAAAUCCCCGCGGCCCCACCA
rnacentral:tRNA from 1 species